rnacentral:rRNA from 1 species
UACGAAGGGGGCUAGCGUUGUUCGGAGUUACUGGGCGUAAAGGGCGCGUAGGCGGCCCAUCAAGUCGGGUGUGAAAGCCCACGGCUCAACCGUGGAACAGCACUCGAGACUGACGGGCUUGAGGACGGGAGAGGAUGGUGGAAUUCCCAGUGUAGAGGUGAAAUUCGUAGAUAUUGGGAAGAACACCGGUGGCGAAGGCGGCCAUCUGGACCGUUUCUGACGCUGAGGCGCGAAAGCGUGGGGAGCAAACAGG